GCAUUACUGAAAAGAAAAAUGAAGCACAUGAGAAGACCAGCAGAGGGAACUGAGAAGAAUGAAAAAUCACAAAGAAUCAAGCCAUCAAUUUACAGAGAGAAGUUUUACAAAACCUACAGCUGAAAAGCAGGAAGGAAGAUUCAGGUGGAAGCUUCUGAGCAUAAUCUAUAUCUACUGCGCCAUGCUCCAGUAGUGUUUUAGUGAAAAGAAACCUCCACAAUCACAAGGGAAGCAAUAGAACAAACAACCUCAGAGAAAGAAAACACGCGACCAUUUCUCGAGAAGAUGAACACGCACAACAGCUACUCUAAAGGAAGGCAAGCAAUCAAGUGAAGCAAAGAAGAAGAAGCAGAGAAAGACUUACAAGUCAACCAUGUGCACAUGGGAAGAAGAGCAUCAUGAACUUACCAGGAAAGGGAGUGAGAAGCUUGUGGUGCUACUGCGUUCCUUUGACAUUUCUUCUUUGAGGUGUAUGUUAGAAGAAGACUGGGAGGAGUCUGAGCUUCUCAGAGCUAAGUGUCCAGGUACUGGAGUGACUUGAGUGGGUCAAAUUUAACAGUCUACUUCUUGCAGGAAGAAGCAAUCAAGUCCAUUUGUCUCGUUAUAUCUUGUAACGGGCAUCUCAGAUUGAAUGCCCCACGGACUUCAAAGUCACUAAUUGAUUCGGAUCUCAGGCCAUACCCUUUGGUUUGGGGUACCGAAAGUUUUCUGUUAGAGCUUUAACCUACUCUGUCUCUCUAUUUAUUUAUUUUAUUCGA